AGUGAACGCUGGCGGUAGGCCUAACACAUGCAAGUCGAACGGCAGCACAGUAAGAGCUUGCUCUUACGGGUGGCGAGUGGCGGACGGGUGAGGAAUACAUCGGAAUCUACUUUUUCGUGGGGGAUAACGUAGGGAAACUUACGCUAAUACCGCAUACGACCUACGGGUGAAAGCAGGGGAUCUUCGGACCUUGCGCGAUUGAAUGAGCCGAUGUCGGAUUAGCUAGUUGGCGGGGUAAAGGCCCACCAAGGCGACGAUCCGUAGCUGGUCUGAGAGGAUGAUCAGCCGCACUGGAACGGAGACAGGGUCCAGACUCCUACGGGAGGCAGCAGUGGGGAAUAUUGGGCAAUGGGGGCAAGCCUGAUCCAGCCAUACCGCGUGGGUGAAGAAGGCGUUCGGGUUGUAAAGCCCUUUUGUGGGGAAAGAAAAGCAGCAGGUUAAUACCCCGCUGUUCUGACGGUACCCAAAGAAUAAGCACCGGCUAACUUCGUG
rnacentral:rRNA from 1 species